UCAAGAAUCUUCCGCAAUGGACGCAAGUCUGACGGAGCGACGCCGCGUGGAGGAAGAAGGCUUUCGGGUUGUAAACUCCUGUCAGAGCUUAUGAAUGCAGGCGGUCGAAUAGCCCGUUCUGUUGACAAAGGGCUCAAAGGAAGCCACAGCUAACUUCGUGCCAGCAGCUGCGGUAAUACGAAGGUGGCGAGCGUUGUUCGGAUUCACUGGGCAUAAAGGGCGCGUAGGCUGUCUCGUAAGCGGCGUGUGAAAUCCUGGAGCUCAACUCCAGAACUGCACGCCGAACUGCGAGGCUAGAGGACGGGAGGGGAGUGUGGAACUCUAGGUGGAGCGGUGAAAUGCGUAGAUAUCUAGAGGAACGCCGGUGGCGAAAGCGACACUCUGGCCCGUCCCUGACGCUGAGGCGCGAAAGCGUGGGUAGCAAACAGGAUUAGAUACCCCCGUAGUCC
rnacentral:rRNA from 1 species